AGAGUUUGAUCUGGCUCAGAUUGAACGCUGGCGGCAGGCUUAACACAUGCAAGUCGAGCGGGGAAAAGUAGCUUGCUACUUAACUUAGCGGCGGACGGGUGAGUAAUACUUAGGAAUCUGCCUAUUAGUGGGGGACAACAUUUCGAAAGGAAUGCUAAUACCGCAUACGUCCUACGGGAGAAAGCAGGGGAUCACUUGUGACCUUGCGCUAAUAGAUGAGCCUAAGUCGGAUUAGCUAGUUGGUGGGGUAAAGGCCUACCAAGGCGACGAUCUGUAGCGGGUCUGAGAGGAUGAUCCGCCACACUGGGACUGAGACACGGCCCAGACUCCUACGGGAGGCAGCAGUGGGGAAUAUUGGACAAUGGGGGGAACCCUGAUCCAGCCAUGCCGCGUGUGUGAAGAAGGCCUUUUGGUUGUAAAGCACUUUAAGCGAGGAGGAGGCUACUCUAGUUAAUACCUAGAGAUAGUGGACGUUACUCGCAGAAUAAGCACCGGCUAACUCUGUGCCAGCAGCCGCGGUAAUACAGAGGGUGCGAGCGUUAAUCGGAUUUACUGGGCGUAAAGCGUGCGUAGGUGGCCAAUUAAGUCAAAUGUGAAAUCCCCGAGCUUAACUUGGGAAUUGCAUUCGAUACUGGUUGGCUAGAGUAUGGGAGAGGAUGGUAGAAUUCCAGGUGUAGCGGUGAAAUGCGUAGAGAUCUGGAGGAAUACCGAUGGCGAAGGCAGCCAUCUGGCCUAAUACUGACACUGAGGUACGAAAGCAUGGGGAGCAAACAGGAUUAGAUACCCUGGUAGUCCAUGCCGUAAACGAUGUCUACUAGCCGUUGGGGUCUUUGAGACUUUAGUGGCGCAGCUAACGCGAUAAGUAGACCGCCUGGGGAGUACGGUCGCAAGACUAAAACUCAAAUGAAUUGACGGGGGCCCGCACAAGCGGUGGAGCAUGUGGUUUAAUUCGAUGCACGCGAGACCUUACCUGGUCUGACAUAGUAGACUUUCCAGAGAUGGAUUGUGCCUUCGGAGCUUACAUACAGUGCUGCAUGCUGUCGUCAGCUCGUGUCGUGAGAUGUGGGUAGUCCCGCACGAGCGCCACCCUUUUCUAUUGCAGCGGGUAGCAGGACUUAGGAAACUGCAUGACACUGAAGAGGCGGGGACACUCAGUCUCAUGCCUACGACAGGGCUACCACGCUCAUGUCGAUACAAGGGUUGCUCACUCUACGGAUAGAAGUC
rnacentral:rRNA from 1 species